rnacentral:rRNA from 1 species
AAUCAUGGCUCAGGAUGAACGCUAGCGGCAGGCCUAACACAUGCAAGUCGAGGGGCAUCACGAGGUAGCAAUACUUUGGUGGCGACCGGCGCACGGGUGCGUAACGCGUAUGUAACCUACCUAUAACAGGGGCAUAACACUGAGAAAUUGGUACUAAUUCCCCAUAAUAUUCGGAGAGGCAUCUCUCCGGGUUGAAAACUCCGGUGGUUAUAGAUGGACAUGCGUUGUAUUAGCUAGUUGGUGAGG